rnacentral:rRNA from 1 species
UGGCAGUAACGGGUAACGGGGAAUUAGGGUUCGGUUCCGGAGAGGGAGCCUGAGAAACGGCUACCACAUCUAAGGAAGGCAGCAGGCGCGUAAAUUACCCAAUGCGGACUCCGCGAGGUAGUGACAAUACAUAACAACCCGGGACCCUCACGGGUUUACGGGAUUGCAAUGAGCACAAACUAAAAGCCUUAGCGAGGAACAAGUGGAGGGCAAGUCUGGUGCCAGCAGCCGCGGUAAUUCCAGCUCCACUAGCGUAUAUUAAAGUUGUUGCAGUUAAAAAGCUCGUAGUUGAACUUCUGGCCGCGCCCCGGCUCGGAACUUGCUUCCGGCCGGCCCUUUCCCGGCGCGGCCAUCCGUCUGCGAACUGUUGCGGCCUUCACUGGCUUGCUUCAGGGAGCAGACACUUUACUUUGAAAAAAUUAGAGUGUUUAAGGCAGGCUCCGCGUCUGAAUACAUUAGCAUGGAAUAAUGGAAUAGGACGCUUGUCCGUUUGAUUGGUUUGCGGACUGGCGUAAUGAUUAAUAGGGACAGUUGGGGGCAUUAGUAUUUAAUUGUCAGAGGUGAAAUUCUUGGAUUUAUUAAAGACUAACUUAGGCGAAAG